rnacentral:lncRNA from 1 species
GGCACACGAACCCUAUCGUCAAUUUCCUUUAAGUUUUGCUUAAUCAACAAACCCAGCUCUUUCAAAUCCAUCGAAUUCAAACUCUGCAAUAUCUCUUUUCCAUUCAGGCUUUGGAACAUGGCAGUUUUCAACUCCUUCUGUCAAUUUUCCUUACGCAGUUUCCUAAGAUGUUGAGUAGCUUUGGCUAAAGCUUUGCUCAAAGAAACUCUCUUGGUUAACCAUCAAUUGUUUUGUUUCGACAGGGGCAGCUUCUUGGACUUGGACAGCAAGCGUCGGGCACUCACGUGGGACGACCAUACCUCAGGUUGGGAGUUGAAAUCAGGAGAGUACAUAAUAGUACAAGCUUCAAUCCCAUAAAGGGUAGUGAGUUCAUGCACCUUCUUCACUAGACCCUUGGUUCUUUUCUU